rnacentral:rRNA from 1 species
UACGAGGGGGGCAAGCGUUGUUCGGAAUUAUUGGGCGUAAAGGGCGCGUAGGCGGUUUGACAAGUCUGACGUGAAAUCCCCGGGCUCAACCUGGGAAUUGCGUUGGAGACUGCAAGGCUGGAGUCUGGCAGAGGGGGGUAGAAUUCCACGUGUAGCAGUGAAAUGCGUAGAGAUGUGGAGGAACACCGAUGGCGAAGGCAGCCCCCUGGGUCAAGACUGACGCUCAUGCACGAAAGCGUGGGGAGCAAACAGG